rnacentral:rRNA from 1 species
GUGAGAACGCCCUUACCUCCUUCCAGGAACAAGGAGCUGGUAUCAGGCACGAUUUUUAGCCCAAGACACCUAGUUCAGCCACACCCACAAGGGGAUCCAGCAGUAAUUAACAUUGAGCAUGAGCGACAGCUUGACUCAGUCAAAGUAAAUAGGGCCGGCUAAUCCGGUGCCAGCCGCCGCGGCUAUACCGUAAGGCCCAAAUUGAUUUUUUUCGGCGUAAAGCGUGGUUAAAGUUACCCCCACAAUUAUAGUUGCACCAGGAUUAAGCCGUUACACGCUUGUGCCUGAGAAGAACAAAAACGAAAGUUACUAUAUGCACUACCACUUGAACCCACGACAGCUGGGGGACAAACUGGGAUUAGAUACCCCACUAUGCCCAGCCGUAAACUUUUACUUACAUCCGUAUCGCCAGGGAACAACUAGCUAAGCUUAAAACCCAAAGGACUUGACGGUACCCCACAUCCACCUAGAGGAGCCUGUCCUGUAAUCGAUAACCCCCGCUAAACCUCACCAUUUCUAGCCCAGCAGCCUGUAUACCUCCGUCGUCAGCUUACCUCGUGAGUGAUCCAUAGUGCGCUUAAUGUCAUUACGUCAGGACGUCAGGUCAAGGUGCAGUAAAUGAAAUGGGAAGAGAUGGGCUACACUCUCUAACAUAGAGGAUACGAAAACCUAUAUGAAAUUCAGUCGGAAGGCGGAUUUAGAAGUAAAGGGGGAUCAUGGAGCCCCCUUUAAUACGGCACUGGGGUAUGUACAUACCGCCCGUCAUCCUCUUCAUA